UAGAGUAAUGCGUGACCAACCUGCCCCAUGCUCCAGAAUAGCUCUUGGAAACGGGUGGUAAUGCUGGAUGCUCCAACUUGACGCAUGUCUUGUUGGGAAAGCGUUUAGUGGCAUGGGAUGGGGUCGCGUCCUAUCAGCUUGUAGGCGGGGUAAUGGCCCACCUAGGCUUCGACGGGUAGCCGGCCUGAGAGGGCGGACGGCCACAUUGGGACUGAGAUACGGCCCAGACUCCUACGGGAGGCAGCAGGC
rnacentral:rRNA from 1 species